rnacentral:sRNA from 1 species
AUUCUGCCCAUGCGGGGAAGGAUGAGAAGCUUCGACCAAGGUUCGACUCGAGCGCCAGCGAGAGAGCGUUGCCGCAGGCAACGACCCGAAGGGCGA